AUCUAUAGCCGUACUACCUGAAUGUGCCCAAUCUCUUCUGAUCUUGGAAGCUAAGCAGGGUUGGGUCUGGUUACUACUUGGAAAGGAGAAGGAGAAAAAUAUGUGAUUUCCAGAGAUA
rnacentral:rRNA from 1 species